UACGAAGGGGGCUAGCGUUGCUCGGAAUGACUGGGCGUAAAGGGCGCGUAGGCGGCUUGCACAGUCAGGCGUGAAAUUCCUGGGCUCAACCUGGGGACUGCGCUUGAGACGUGUGGGCUUGAGUGGGGAAGAGGGUCGUGGAAUUCCCAGUGUAGAGGUGAAAUUCGUAGAUAUGACAUAGAACACCAAUUGCGAAGGCAGCCCGCUACACGGUUAUUGACACUGAGGCACGAAAGCGUGGGGAUCAAACAGG
rnacentral:rRNA from 1 species